UUGGAAAGAAAAAGAAACAAGGGUAAAGGGCAGCAAAGCUGCUGCUAAACUAAUUAGAAGCUACAAAACGUUAAGAAGAAACAAAAAAAAUAGAACGAAGAGAAGUGGAAUCGGGUGAGCGGCGACCGUAGUUGAAGAAGAUAAGUGAGGGAAGAAACAAUAAUUCAGGUAUUUAUCCCUAUACAUGACACUAGCCUUACAUAUAAUUUAGUUUGUAAUUAUCUUACCAAUUAUCUAGAGACAAGGGAAUAAUAUAGCAAUGACAUCUGGGAAUUGGAUAUAGAAGAAACAAAUAUGCUGCUAGAAAGAAAUUACUACUCUUCGACGGGAUUUAUUCUUUUAAAUUUAAGGAAUGAUGAUUACCUAAUAAUUGGGGCAGAAUGUGUGUGGAGUAAUAAUUGUCUAAUGAUAGUAAUUAUUAUGCAUAUUAAGGAGUUGAAUAAAAUAUAGGUUAUGCGCACAAUGUUAAGAAAAGAGUACAGGGUGUGUUUCGGGUUCUGCUAUACACUAUUUCAAAGUUUAUUGUCUUCAAUUUUAUUUCUAAUGAUUAGUUAAUUAUUACAUGAUGAUUGAAAAUUUUCGUCCUAGAACAUUAUGAAAUUUGAUUAAUAAAUUAUAUGAAUAUGUUGUAGUUGAUAGAUUAGUAAUUAUCCAUAUGUGGGUAACUAUAAUUCGGCGAAUUAAGAGUUAAAUAUAAUUUUUUUAGAGGAUUGAAUAUUCUAAACUAGUGAUGGAUUUAGACUAAAUGAGGCAAUUAACACGAGAUCGGUGCUAAUAUGAUUAUAGAUUGAUUAAAGAUAGUCGUACGGAUCGUUCGAGGUGAAUAGUUUGACAAUUCACACGAGUACUAUGAGUAGUAAUCAUACCAGAAUUUGUAUUUUCAUAACCUGCAUGGUUUAUAUAUCAUUUUAAAAAUAAAUGUGUUACCGAUACUUUGAAAUUGCAUGUGGGACAAGUCCUUUACUUGAUAUGGUACCGAACAGUUUACUUGAGAUGUUUGCCAGUUUAUAUAAAUUUUUAUCAUUACUAGAUAUGUUUUACCGUUGCAUGAGAUGUUACAGUUAUUUUUGAAUUAUUCUCACUAUUACUAGAUAUGUUUUAUUCUUACUUGAGACAUGAUUACCGUUACCGAAAUAAAAUUAUAAGAUUUGAUAAGAAACAAUAUGCCUUUUAUUAUUUUGAAAAUGCUUUUGUACGAGUAUUUACUAUUUACACAAAAGGAUAUAAAUGGGAGGAGACUUUGAAGGAUCCCGUAGCUAACGGCGGGUUCGUUAGACCUGGUGCACCUUGUAUUUACAAAUUACCGAUUACAGUUAUAGCCCUCGCUUGUGGGAAGGUAGAACUAGCAUACAGUUACAGUUUUCCCUCGAGUAGGGACCUGCAGUUAUACUUGACUCCUUUUAUGAAAGGGUCCACACAGUGAUACAGAUUACAUGAUCCUUUUCUGGAAACCUCCCAAAUAUAAAGAUUGACUAUGACACAGUAUUUACCGAGUUUAUUACUAAAUUGUUAAAUUAACUUUAUUACAGGAAACACAUGAUGAGACUGAUUAUCAUUACCAUUUUAAAAAGGGCAUUUUAUUUUGUGUUUAUUAUGCAUGGAUGUUUUCUAACUUGUCCCCAAAUAAAAACGCUUGUGGCUAAGUGUUAUUACUCCCUGAGCUGGCGACUCACUCCCCGCUAAAUAUUUUUUACAGAGACAGCAGUUGAAGCAGGCGAGAAUUUCGUUAAUUAGAGCACACAUGUUGAGAAUUCUUCGUGAGCCUCGCACUUGUUCGCGUGGGCGAAGAUUUUUAUCAAUUGUUAUGGUCUUUUCUUUAAAUUCUUAGAGUCGCUCCAUAGUCAUUCUUNNNNNNNNNNNNNNNNNNNNNNNNNNNNNNNNNNNNNNNNNNNNNNNNNNNNNNNNNNNNNNNUAUACAUCAUCUAUCAUUCUUUUAGUGUCAUGAGUAUUAUUUUCUAUUAGUCUUAUGUUGAGUAUCGUUCUUUAGUAUUAAAGUUGGAGAUAAUUAAUAUUUCUGGUUGUUAGUUGGUGGUUUAGUCAUGUUGGAGAAUUGUGUUGGUUAAUUGACAUAUUGUCAAUUAUUUGGUAUGAUAUUAGGAUGUUUGGUUGUUGAUUUGAGACAGGAAAUUUUUUUUGGAUGGUCCAAAAACAGGGGAAACUCUGCCUGAUUUUCUGUAAAGUUACUGCUGAGGUUUACUUGGGAGCACUUGCUCCUAAGCGCCGGUCACGAUCCUGAAUUGGGUCAUGACAAAGUUGGUAUCAGAGCUUAGGCUUGAUGUACCGAGUCAUGGAGCAAUGUCUAGUAGAGUAUUAUUCAUGGGUAUGUAGGCGCCCAUACUUGUGAGCUUGAGGCUACUGAACAUCUAGGAAUGCUUUCCCUUCUUUCAUUCCUUGAUCGUGCAUUGAGAUAACUUGAGAUUGACUUUGGAAUAUUUCUUUUGCAGAUGGCUAGGACACGUAAACCCUCAUCUGCUGGACGUGGUGUUGGACGUGGUACUACCCGGGGUGGAGGCCAAGUUGGGUUUCAUCAAAAUAGAAGACAGACUGCUUCUCAACCCCAUGUUGGGAACAUGGGUCAACCCCAUGCUGUUAUGCCAGAUCAAGUGCAAGAGAAGGAUUUCACAACGCUCCACCACCAGUGCAACCUGUUGUACCUACCGUUGCCUUACCUGCAGAUGUAGUGGCAAGGUUAUUAAAUGUGUUUGAGGCAUGGGUACCUACUCA
rnacentral:lncRNA from 1 species